rnacentral:lncRNA from 1 species
CCUUAUAACUUUACUCAUUAGGAAUUUUUUUAAGAAAGGAAAUACACCUCAUAGGAUUUAAGAAAACAUAGGUGGCAUAUAGCAUAUGAAACUAACAUUGCUAUAGAAUGGUAUUUGGUCAGAAUAUGCAUGAUUUUAUUAAAUUUGUGUGCAUCUUCAGAUGAUGCAAUAGAGAUCUUCAAGCAAGUCAGAAGAAAAACCACCUCUAGUCCAUAACGCAGCACCAUUCUGCACCAGAUCCUUGACGCUGAACCUCUGUUCCAAGCUGGGCAAGGGUUAAACGUUUCGUCCUGCUCUUGCAGCUGUCUGCGAGGCCUCAGCCGGUUGUGACUAUACAUUUGCUCCUCUUUGCCCAUCCCUCCCCAGCAGCCCUGCGCUUUACCCCAAGUAUGCAGGGGAGGGACUUCUUACUCAAAAAAAGACACAAAAUGGCUUCCACAAAAGGAACCACUAGGGACAGAAAAGCAUUUGUCAGCCUGAGAAAGAGACGACUGAGGUGGGCAAGACAGAAGCCCGUGAUUUGACACCCAAAGCACUGAGUAGGUAAAUAAGAACACAACCACUCACGGCCUCUUCCAAUAAAAGAAGUAGGGAAAAUUAAACUAAAUUAGUGUGUUUCAAAACAAAUAAAAGCAGCACUUCUUGAUACAAUAUGCUGUUAAGGUGUGGAAUCCUUUCCACAGGAUGUUGGGAAUACUAAAAGUUCACUGAGUCCACAAAGCAAUUAAACAGGAUCACAGAAGAAAUUCUAUCCAGCACUACUAAACGUGAAGACACUACCACUGACUCAGGAAGUCCCUCAGCUGCACAUCACUGGAUGCCGGGUAAAACAGGGCCACAUUACUAUAUGCUUGUGCUCGUCUUAUGCGACUCCUGAGGCAUUUGCUUUCAGCCGUCCUCCAGCAGGUUACGGGGCUAAACAGAGCUUUGGUCUGACUCAGUACAACCUUCUUCAGACAGACUCCUUGUUCCUUUGACCACCCUACUAAUGCAUUUCUGUUCCUCUUCCCAUCUGAAGUCCUCUCCCCUGAGACAGGCAAUUGUACAAAGCAUCCUGGAAGAAAUCUCAGCAAUGCCUUAUACAAGGUCAUUACUAUUUUCAUGUCCCUGCCGGACACACUUUCNNNNCGUAGCAUAGGACUGCAUUUGCUAUUUUGAUGGAUAUGUCAUUAUAGAUGUAUCCCUCCAAGAAAGCCACAGCAUAAACCAACCCAGCCUAUGACUUGAGAGUGAAAAGCACAACACAACUCCAAAGGCCAAUAAUACCAAAUGAGCCAACAAUUCCAACUGCAAUUUUUUAUUCUGCAGUUCUAUGCGCAUGUUCCCCAUAAGCCUGGGAGCCUCUGACCCAGUAGCUGCCAGAUAAUCACAGCCUCUCUUGGGAAUAUGCUGCCCUCGCAGCAGCAAAGCCAGAUUUGUACCACCCAGGAGAGACGGAUGUUAAGCCUCAAACAGGGGUAUACAAUGAAUGUGCCGCAGAGAAAGAGACCAGCAAAGACCAGAGCUGUGGAUUGACUGGAACAGGGAAGGAGAGAGGAAAAGCUAAGGAGGCUUAGCUUGCUCACCGACCACGGCAGCAGGAGAUAGGUGCCCGGCUGGCAACAAAG